CAGCCGCCACGGUAAUACGUAGGUGGCAAGCGUUGUCCGGAAUCACUGGGCGUAAAGGGAGCGUAGGCGGCGUGGUAAGUCAGAUGUGAAAUCCCGGGGCUCAACCCCGGAACUGCAUCCGAUACUGCCGUGCUAGAGGAUUGGAGAGGUAGCUGGAAUUCUUGGUGUAGCAGUGAAAUGCGUAGAGAUCGGAAGGAACAUCUGUGGCGAAGGCGACUAUCUGGGCCAACACUGACGCUGAGGCACGAAAGCGUGGGGAGCAAACAGGAUUAGAUACCCGCGUAGUCCCUGUCUCUUAUAC
rnacentral:rRNA from 1 species